CCAGGUGAGCAUCUUACAGCCUGGAGCAGCGCCCACACCCCCAGGUGAGCAUCUGACAGCCUGGAGCAGCACCCACACUCCCAGGUGAGUAUCUGACAGCCUGGAGUAGCACCCACACCCCCAGGUGAGCAUCUGACAGCCUGGAACAGCAUCCACUCCCCCAGGUGAGCAUCUGACCACAUUGAAUGGCAUCCUCACCUCCAGGUGAGCAUCUGACAGCCUGGAACCGCACCCACACCCCCAGGCGAGCAUCUGACAGCCUGGAGCAGCACCCACACCCCCAGGUGAGCAUCUGACAGCCUGGAGCAGCACCCACACCCCCAGGGGAGCAUCUGACCGCAUGGAAUGUCAUCCUCACUUCCAGGUGAGCAUCCGACAGCCUGGAGCAGCACCCACACCCCCAGGUGAGCAUCUGACCGCAUGGAAUGGCAUCCUCACCUCCAGGUGAGCAUCCGACAGCCUGGAACAUAAUUCUCCAACCCCAGGUGAGCAUCUGACAGCCUGGAACAGCAUCCACACCCCCAGGUGAGCAUCUGACCGCAUGGAAUGGCAUCCUCACCUCCAGGUGAGAAUCUGACGCAUAAAACAGCACCCUGCAACCCCAGGUGAGCAUCUGACAGUCUGGAACAGCAUCCACACACCCAGGCGAGCAUCUGACAGCCUGGAGCAGCACGCACACCCCCAGGCGAGCAUCUGACAGCCUGGAGCAGCACACACAACCCCAGGCGAGCAUCUGACAGCCUGGAGCAGCGCCCACACCCCCAAGUGAGCAGGUGACAGCCUGGAGCAGUGCCCACACCCCCGGGCGAGCAUCUGACAGCCUGGAGCAGCACCCACACCCCCAGGUGAGCAUCCGACAGCCUGGAGCAGCACCCACACCCCCAGGUGAGCAUCUGACCGCAUGGAAUGGCAUCCUCACCUCCAGGUGAGCAUCCGACAGCCUGGAACAGAAUUCUCCAACCACAGGUGAGGAUCUGACAGCCUGGAACAGAACCC